rnacentral:lncRNA from 1 species
AUGCGCGCCCGGCCGCGCGACUCACCCGCGCGGCGGCGGCGGCGGCGGCGGCGGCGGCGGCGGGGCCCCGGGCCCGGCUCCCGGAGCGGCGCGGCGCGGCCCAUGCGCUCAGCGGCGGCGCCGCGGGCGGGACGCGGCGGGGCGCGGCCCCGGGCGGCCCCAUCGCAGCGGCGGCGCGGCGGUCCGCAGGCGGGCGCAGGGCAGGCCGCGCGGCCGCCGCCAAGGCCGGCCGCGGACUCCCGCCGGCCUGCUCCGCGGGGACGCGGCUCCGGCCCGACUCCGGCCGGUCCGGCGGCGGCGGCGGCGGCGGCGGCGGAGGAGGUAGCGGCGGCCACGAUCGCUUCCCCGAGCGGGGAGCCGGAGCCCAGAGCGCCUAAGCCCAGGCCGGAGCGCCCCCGCCGGCGCCGCCCGGAAGUGCGGGGGCGGGGCCCGGAGCGUCGGGCGGGGCCCGGGGCGCGGGGCGUGCCGAGAGCGCGGGGGCGGGGCCGGGAGCACCUGACGGAGCCCAACGCGGGGACAGGGCGAGGAACGCGCGGCGCGGAGCCUCCGGCGUGGAGGCGGGACCUUGUGGGCGGGGCCGAGUUGUGGGCGGGGCCAAGGAGGGGGGAACCGGGCGCAGAGCGCGAGACCGAGCCAGAGCGCGAGACCGAAUCCGAGCGCUGGGAAGGGCCUGGAGCCUGGGGGCGGAGCCUCUGCCAUAGAGGCGGGGCCUGGGCGUGGGCGUGGGCCCUGAGCGUGGAGGCGGAGCCAAGUGUCCAGGCGGACGGGAGGCGUGACGCAAAGCCUGGCCAAGCGGACCUCAGCAGAUAUGUCGCUGGGGGCGGGGCCUUAGUGUGGGCGGGGCCAAGACGCCGUCGAACUGCUCUGGUCCCCUGGGGCUGUGUCAUUAGGGAGGGUGGCCCGAGCGCCCAACGGAGAGAUGGCCCUCAGGCGGCCCCGCAGACGCACGCCAGGUCGGAGCCCUUUUCUGCUUCCCACAUGGUGUCCACUGACCCAGGGCUCCAGAGGUCAGCACCCCAGUCCCGGCCCGCCCAGCCGGGCUGCCACGCCCUCCGAGCUCUCUGA